rnacentral:tRNA from 1 species
GCCUAUAUAGCUUAUUGGUAGAGCAUUUUUUUGGUAAAAAAAAGGCAAUCAGUUCAAUUCUGAUUAUAGGCU